rnacentral:tRNA from 1 species
ACAGUAGUUGUUCGGUGGUAGAAUUCUCGCCUUCCAUGUGUGAGACCUGGAUUUGAUUCCCAGCUAGUGCA